rnacentral:ncRNA from 1 species
UGAAAUGCGAUGAAGAGACGAGUAAAUAAACGAAUUCUUUCACAGAGAGCUCCGUUAGCUGAAAAGGAGUAAGAGUUAUUUAUUGAAAAAAGACUCAGAGCAGCACAUUGGAGCCCUAGAUAAAGGGGUGAUGGUGUGACAGGAGCUCCUGUUACAGAGCUAGAGUAUAAGCAUUGCCAGAUGGCAAAGCCGUACUUGAAGAGGCUAAUAUGGCGACAUAGUAGUGAACCUAGGGUGGUACCGCGAGUAUACAAAUCUCGUCCCUAAG